UACGGAGGGUGCAAGCGUUAUCCGGAUUCACGUGGUUUAAAGGGUGCGUAGGUGGGCUUGUAAGUCAGUGGUGAAAUCUCCGUGCUUAACAUGGAACUGCCAUUGAUGACUAUGAGUCUUGAAUUUUCUGGAGGUCGAGUCGGAAUAUGUCGAUGAUAGCGGUGAAAUGCUUAGAUAUGACAUAGAACACCGAUUGCGAAGGCAGCUGGCUACAGGGAUAUUGACACUGAGGCACGAAAGCGUGGGGAGCAAACGGG
rnacentral:rRNA from 1 species